UGAGCCAUCUGCCAGGCCCGUUCCCUUAGCUGCCCCGACCCGCCCUGCCUCAUGGUUCCGGGCUUCCCUGCCACCCUAACUCCACACUAAAGUCUCCAGAAGUUCCUUCCCUAGAAGCCCUUCUCGUGGUCGCCACGGAGCCAUCCUCGACUCCCUUUCUUUGCUGCAGGGUAUUUGUGGUGCAGCAGAUUCCCAACAGUAACCUCCUCCUCCUGGUGACAGACCCCACCUGUGACUGCAGCAUCUUCCCACCAGUGCUGCAGGAGGCGACAGAAGUCAAAUAUAAUGCCUCUGUCAAAUGUGACCGGAUGCGCUCCCAGAAGCUCCGCCGGCGACCAGACUCCUGCCACGCCUUCCAUCCAGAGGUGCGGGUUGAGGCGGAUCGAGGGUGGGCUGGAUUUUCAUCCCCAAACCCUCUGUGCCUGGGUCUGUGCCCCUGCAGACAGGAGCAUAUAGGGAUGCCAAUGAACACACCUGUGCCUGUGCUUCUCGGGGGAAACAUUCGCGUUUAUGCCCUGUGACACUGUGAUAUAAUAAGAAACAGAUCUUU
rnacentral:lncRNA from 10 species